CUCUUAUCUGCCUAAAAUUCAACUUUAAAAGAAAAGGAUCUCUUAAAGGGAAACGACUUUUGGCUCACGUAUGCAUACGAGAAUGAAACUUCUGUACAUUUUAAUCUGAUUAAUUCCUAAGGAUUUAAAGUUAAUUGGCUUGGGCACUCCUAGACCGGACUAUAAGAUUUCUGCAUCAGGGUUUCUGCGAGCGCUGUACCGAAUAGGAACCGUGCCUCGCAUGCUGUUGUCAGAGCAAAACACUUUUGCUGCUUAAAGUCAGAUCUACGUCCUUUGCAAUAAUACUUAAAAAAAAAAAAAAGGAUAAAUAAUUGCCUUAAAGCCUCAGCCGAACUGCCAACCACACCUUCGGAUGUCAGAAGGCAGAAAUAUGUGAACUGCUGAGAGAGCUACCUUCUUAAUCGACGGCAAAUCCCCGCUCUGGAGGAUCAGGCCCUAUCUGGGCUACUUCUCAGCCAAGGAAUGUAUCCGUCCCUUCAUCUCCACAUAUCUUACCUGUGAUGUAUUCUACCUUUUGAGGAGGGAAUAAUAUGGUAUUUACCACAAAGCACAGCUUCAAAGCCUUUGUGUGUUUCUCAUCUCCAGCCAAAGCUUGUUAUUUACCACCUUCAAAAUUUACCCGGGUAAGGGAUAGUAGCAGUUAUUGUCUUCAUUUUUACAUCCUAAUUUUCACGCAGGAAAUGCCCUGCAUUAGGGCCAGAUCCUCACUCAGGUGGAAGUUAUUAACUUUAAGCAGAAUGGAGCCUAUUUCAGCCAGCCGCAGCUCGUGCCCUUCUAACACAGUCACUUUACAGCAUCCCCUUGUUUAUUUUUUUCUUUGGAGGGCAUGAUUCUUUAAACAUGUUUGUUUUACAGGGAGCAGCAGUUGAUUCCUAACUUUUUUCCCCCCCAAACAUGUAAAGAGAAUAUUAAAAGGGAAUAUUAAUAGAGCUGAGUGCAGCAUGACGCUAGUUAGAUUGUAGUAGCUGAGAAAUAUGAACUAGUGAACAUAAUCCAUAAACUCCAUUUGGUUACUAUAAUACUCCAAUCUGUAUUUAUUACAACCCCACUCUGAUGCUUAUACAACUGCAAUUGCUAGAUUUAUACACUCUAAUGGCUUCACAAUAGGAAAAACCUGUGUUCUUUAUCUUUCUUUUCCUGUCCAAAAUAACCCCUUCCACAUAUACUUCAGGCUUCUCUGGACCUUGUCUGGGUUUAAUCACGGGCUGUGGGACAAAAUGUGCAUUAUUAAGAAAUAUAAAUAUUUUCAGAAGCAAUCAAAGGGUUGAAAGAUUGAUUCGGCAUGUAGAUUGGAUUUAAUUCGAAGCAGCUUUGUUCUAAUGAGGACUACUGGGAUACAAAGACAGCAGCCGCUUAUGGCCACCAGUUGGGAACUUCGACUCGCUGCAGCAACCUGUCAAGAAUUUCAAGAAACUGCCAGGAAUUUGGAAGAUGCCCACGUCUAAGACAAUGGUGAGGAUUGGGCCAAAAUCCAGAUCCAGCCUGGAUUCCUCCAUCUGAGUAGUCCUGUCGUGAGCUACGACUGCUGACGGAUCGCAGCGACAUGGACCUUUCUCUCGCCUUACUCCCCGGCAUCAGAUCACCACGAGGGCCUGAGAUAAUACUGGAUGAACCAUCACAAGACCAGGAUUGGAAAGUGUGGGGACCAAGCACACGGGGAGGUGGUCGGUGCAGCUGGUUCCCUGACUGUCGCUGGGUGGUGGUUCAGCUCUCAGUCACGGCCCAAGCUACCAGAAGUCGGAGAAAUAUUGCAUGGACUGUUCCUGUCCUGGCUCCUUAUCAGUGCUUCCAGCUGUAUGAAGCCCUGAGAACCAAGGCAACAUGAGUGCGUGACCAGGUAUUUGCUCCUCUCAUGGUCUAUACCUGAAGCACAGCACAGAGUUUCAUCCUUUGCUUCAGCAGUGCCGUCUUAAUCUCUGGUUUUGGUGGGAAGACUAUGCAGUCUCAGUGAUACUGUGCCAUCCUGUUCCCUGCUUUCAGGCUGGGGUCACAAUUUGGAUUUGGAAGAAGCAACUUCCAUGCAGAGAUGUGACUGGAAUAUGAAUACUAUUCCAGGUCAUGACCUCACCGCAGUUCCUGGAUUCUUUCUGAAAAGAUUAAAAUGAACUAAUAUACCAGUGAUCUCAUCGCAGUGUAAAGGACAUCUUACACAGGGGAAAAAAACCCAAAACCAGGAGAACUUCAAUACUUGGUUUGCAUCAAGAGUAGAAAAAGCACUAUAACAUCAUCGUGGAGAAACACUAAAAGGUACAAUGCCAGAGAGGCAUUUUUCCGUCUUCUUAUAAACUACUUGGAUUUGUCCUACUUGAUCCUGCCUGUCACACCUGUCAUCCUUUUAGCUGUCUCCACAUCUAUUCUCUUUCCUUUUUUCCUGCCUUUACCUGUACGUUCCCUUGUCUCUUCUGUGGCCUUCCUAUGUGUUUUAAUGUACCUGAUUACUUUGAAUCACAUACACUACUAUUCUCAACUACAUCCAAAAUACAUUUUGCAGAUUAUAGACACACUAUCAUGUUAUACAGAAGUAUUCACACAUACUUCAUUUAUAGCUUACGUUAUUCUGGGUAAGAACCCCUUUCCUACAUGUAUACACAGUUCUCAGGUCAGGGGGUCAUGGAUUAUGAUAGCUCUCAUCUACUUUGGAGCUGUUGUAUCUUCUAACAGAUAUCAGGAGGAUGAGUAGGGAGAACUGAUUUGUUUUCUUUGUUAUGAGAACCCAUAAAUUAGUAUUCAUGUAAUGGAGAAUCCCACCACGUUUCUAAUGUUGUAUCACAUUCUGAGGUUGGAAACUAGAAUAUCUUCAGAACAUGAUGAGUAUACUGUUAAUAAUGUAAUCUUAUCUGUUGCGCCCAUAGGUACGCCCCAGCUCUGGCUUGAGAUCACACCAUUAGGCAAUGAGGUGACAAACCGGUUUCCUUUCUCAAGCCAAAUGUCACGUAAAUAACUGCCCAGGGGCCCAUUUUGGUGGUGGUAGCAUCCCCUGACUUUUCAAGGAGAUAUGUGCCGGUGUGACCCUCUCCACCCUGUAGGCUUGGCAGGAGGAAACAAAACUGUUCGUUUCCAUCUGUGACAUUUCUCAGCCAGGAAGAAAGCCAUGAGGCAUCAGACUGUAGGCUGGGAGGCAUCAGAGCAGCCACUUGUUAGACACUCACAAAAAACCCUCCAAAAACUAUCAAGUGGAGAUGAGUUCCUGGGUUAAGCAAGCUGAUAUAAUGGGUGAUGAUACCUUCCUACCCACCCAACAAGAUUUGUUACUCCUCGAUGGAGUAACAGACAAACAUAUCCAACCCCAAAUGCUCUGCAGUUGAUAUAUCCGGUUUAGUGAAGAAAGCCCUAAUCAGUGAUGAAUAUUAUAGGAUAAAUACAUCCUGCAGCAUUAGUAGAAGUUCCAAAAGGCCCAAGGAGCAGUGCAGAGCAUCUGUUACCAACAAGAAAAUAGUGGGUGAAAAGCUGUUGUAAUUCCUGGCCCCAGAAGCCUGUCUGGAGGCACAGACUUCCCAAGGCAGAGGGGAGUUGGAGAACUCUGGAUGUUCAGCAAGAUCUCAUCCCCCUGCAGAUUCACCAGGUCAGCUCAGGCCAGGCCAAAGGAGCUGGGCAAGGUCCUCGGCUCUACUCCAAGUUUGUUGCUUUAUUGAUUGUGAAGAGGUACUUACAGUAGAUCAGGAUCUUGAACUGAGACUGGCCUACCAGCUGAAGCUGUAUGAACUAAAUCGUAUAUUCCCCAACUACAGAUAAAACCAGUGGCCACUUUUAGCCUAAUCAUCACUUCUGCCAGCGGAAAGAGAAACUCUCUGAGGUUUAUUCCUAAGUCUGUUGGAAAUGGAAAUGAUUCCAUUGACUCCAACAAACUCUGCUUUCUACUGGAUUAUGGAAGAUGUUUGUACAUCAUAUUUUCUGGUGAUGUCCCACUAAUGAAACGUGGAAUUUUAUAAACACAUCAGGGAGGUGCCGGAUCAACUCAGACCAUGAAGUUCUCAAUUAUUCCUCAUCAGAAGCCAACCCAAACAAGAACACCCUGAGAUACUGAAUUUAUGAUACAAGUGGAUUAUGUCAAGGGUUUUCCAUGAAAACUUUGUACUGGAAAGCGCCAAUCAGGCAAAAAGGUUUGGAGGGAAUAAUGUGGUUUUCAUGAGGCUUCUCAACUGAAAAAAAGAUGUUAAAGACAUUUCAAAAUCUUUGCAAG